rnacentral:rRNA from 1 species
AGUGGCGGACGGGUGAGUAACACGUGGGAACGUGCCCUUUGGUACGGAAUAACUCAGGGAAACUUGAGCUAAUACCGUAUGUGCCCUUCGGGGGAAAGAUUUAUCGCCAUUGGAGCGGCCCGCGUCUGAUUAGCUAGUUGGUGAGGUAAUGGCUCACCAAGGCGACGAUCAGUAGCUGGUCUGAGAGGAUGACCAGUCACAUUGGGACUGAGACACGGCCCAAACUCCUACGGGAGGCAGCAGUGGGGAAUCUUGCGCAAUGGGCGAAAGCCUGACGCAGCCAUGCCGCGUGGAUGAUGAAGGUCUUAGGAUUGUAAAAUCCUUUCACCGGGGACGAUAAUGACGGUACCCGGAGAAGAAGCCCCGGCUAACUUCGUGCCAGCAGCCGCGGUAAUACGAAGGGGGCUAGCGUUGCUCGGAAUUACUGGGCGUAAAGGGCGCGUAGGCGGACAUUUAAGUCGGGGGUGAAAUCCCAGGGCUCAACCCUGGAACUGCCUUCGAUACUGGAUGUCUUGAGUGCGGGAGAGGUGUGUGGAACUCCGAGUGUAGAGGUGAAAUUCGUAGAUAUUCGGAAGAACACCAGUGGCGAAGGCGACACACUGGCCCGUUACUGACGCUGAGGCGCGAAAGCGUGGGGAGCAAACAGGAUUAGAUACCCUGGUAGUCCACGCCGUAAACGAUGAUUGCUAGUUGUCGGAGU